rnacentral:rRNA from 1 species
AUUGAACGCUGGCGGCAUGCUUUACACAUGCAAGUCGAACGGUAACAGGUUAAGCUGACGAGUGGCGAACGGGUGAGUAAUGCAUCGGAACGUGCCCGAUCGUGGGGGAUAACGCAGCGAAAGCUGCGCUAAUACCGCAUACGAUCUGAGGAUGAAAGCGGGGGACCGUAAGGCCUCGCGCGAUCGGAGCGGCCGAUGUCAGAUUAGGUAGUUGGUGGGGUAAAGGCUCACCAAGCCGACGAUCUGUAGCUGGUCUGCGAGGACGACACGCCACACUGGGACUGAGACACGGCCCAGACUCCUACGGGAGGCAGCAGUGGGGAAUUUUGGACAAUGGGCGCAAGCCUGAUCCAGCAAUGCCGCGUGCAGGAAGAAGGCCUUCGGGUUGUAAACUGCUUUUGUACGGGGCGAAAAGGCUCUCUCUAAUACAGGGGGCUCAUGACGGUACCGUAAGAAUAAGCACCGGCUAACUACGUG